CAGGCAAAAUUCCAUUUCAAUAAAUCUAAUUUUUAUUAUCAGAUUCAACAGACAACAUUACAUUCCAACAAAAAUAAUCAGAACAAACACAACAGGGAAAAAAUAACAUAAUUGCAAAAUCUGUAUGUGUUGUUCAUUGAAUGUGCAUACUAUAGGUGAUUAAUACAGAGAAUUGCUUCUAUGCUAAUAACGUUUGUUGUUCUGCAAUCGUAACUAGACAACAAAUUCUAAGUGAAAGAUAGUGUUUCCUCACUUUGAAUGAACACCAUAUUUAUUAACAGGAAGGUUUUUUAAUAGACAAAUGUACAUGUAUGACUUGUUAGCCUAAUCCAG